rnacentral:lncRNA from 1 species
UCAAGAUGAACUUGCUGGAAGAGUCUGCCCUGGCUGUCCUAGAACUUGGUGUGUAUACCAGACUGCCCUUGAACUCACAGUGACCCAUCUGCCUCUGCCUGAGUGCUGAGAUUAGAAGUGGAUGCCAUCAUACAUGGUCCCUAGUGUCUAUUCUAAAAACACUUUUAUAAUAGUAUCUGAAGCUUUAGAGAGGAGGCCAUGCUUCUCUUUAUGCCACCAUGUCUUACUGGAUUACGGGAAUAGUGCUCUGAGGGUCUCAGACUCAGAUGUGGUUCCAAGGACGAGUCUAUCUAUGUCGUUUGGAGAAGAAGCUGAAAGAACUCUUAUUCUCCCAGUCUCAAAAGGACCCUGCAGGAAGGCAGAGCCACUUAGAAGCCAGGAAAAGGACUCUACUGGGAAACUGAACUAGCAGACACCUUGAUCUUGGGCUUGCUAGCCUCACAACUGUGAAAAAUACAAACCUGUUGUUUAA